UACAGAGGUCCCAAGCGUUAUUCGGAUUCACUGGGCGUAAAGGGUGCGCAGGCGGCCAAGUGUGUGAGGCGCGAAAGCCUGGAGCUUAACUCCAGAAUUGCACCUCAAACUACUUGGCUAGAGCAUUGGAGAGGGUAGCAGAAUUCAUGGUGUAGCAGUGAAAUGCGUAGAUAUCAUGAGGAAUACCAGAGGCGAAGGCGGCUACCUGGACAAUUGCUGACGCUCAGGCACGAAAGCGUGGGGAGCAAAAGGG
rnacentral:rRNA from 1 species